CCUAUGGGUGGCAGCAGUGGGGAAUAUUGGGCAAUGGGCGCAAGCCUGACCCAGCAACGCCGCGUGAAGGAAGAAGGCUUUCGGGUUGUAAACUUCUUUUGUCAGGGAAGAGUAGAAGACGGUACCUGACGAAUAAGCCACGGCUAACUACGUGCCAGCAGCCGCGGUAAUACGUAGGUGGCAAGCGUUGUCCGGAUUUACUGGGUUUAAAGGGUGCGUAGGCGGAAUAUCAAGUCAGCGGUAAAAAUUCGGGGCUCAACCCCGUCGUGCCGUUGAAACUGAUGUUCUUGAGUGGGCGAGAGGUAUGCGGAAUGCGUGGUGUAGCGGUGAAAUGCAUAGAUAUCACGCAGAACUCCGAUUGCGAAGGCAGCAUACCGGGGCCCAACUGACGCUGAAGCUCGAAAGCGUGGGUAUCGAACAGGAUUAGAUACCCGUGUAGUC
rnacentral:rRNA from 1 species